rnacentral:rRNA from 1 species
UACGUAGGGGGCGAGCGUUGUCCGGAUUUAUUGGGCGUAAAGAGCUCGUAGGCGGUUCGAUAAGUCGGACGUGAAAUCUCCACGCUCAACGUGGAGGGGCCGUUCGAUACUGUCGUGACUCGAGUCCGGUAGGGGAGUGUGGAAUUCCCGGUGUAGCGGUGAAAUGCGCAGAGAUCGGGAGGAACACCCGUAGCGAAGGCGGCACUCUGGGCCGGUACUGACGCUGAGGAGCGAAAGCGUGGGGAGCAAACAGGG